CGAACGUUGGCGGCGUGCUUAAUACAUGCAAGUCAACUGAAGCAGUGGUAGCAAUAUCGCUGUGGAGGUGGCGCACGGGUGAGUAACACGUAGGUAAUCUGCCUUCAGGUCUGGCAUAACUCCGGGAAACCGGGGCUAAUAGCAGAUGAUGCAGCGGCUCGACAUCGAGACAGUUGUUAAAGCUAUGGCGCCUGAAGAUGAGCCUGCGUCUGAUUAGCUAGUUGGCGGGGUAACGGCCCACCAAGGCAACGAUCAGUAGCUGGUCUGAGAGGAUGAUCAGCCACACUGGAACUGAGACACGGUCCAGACUCCUACGGGAGGCAGCAGUAAGGAAUAUUGCUCAAUGGGAGAAAUCCUGAAGCAGCAACGCCGCGUGAGGGACGAAGGGCUUUUGCUUGUAAACCUCUGUAGUGAGAGAAAAAAAUCCCAAUCUUUGGGACAUGAUGGUAUCUCAAAAGUAAGCCCCGGCUAACUACGUG
rnacentral:rRNA from 1 species